rnacentral:rRNA from 1 species
GUCGAGCGCCCAGCAAUGGGAGCGGCGGACGGGUGAGUAACACGUGGGAAUAUGCCCAAAGGUACGGGACAACUCAGGGAAACUUGAGCUAAUACCGUAUGAUCCGGUAACGGCAAAGAUUUAUCGCCUUUGGAUUAGCCCGCGUCCGAUUAGCUAGUUGGUGAGGUAAUGGCCCACCAAGGCACCGAUCGGUAGCUGGUUUGAGAGAACGACCAGCCACACUGGGACUGAGACACGGCCCAGACUCCUACGGGAGGCAGCAGUAGGGAAUCUUGGACAAUGGGGGAAACCCUGAUCCAGCCAUGCCGCGUGAGUGAUGAAGGCCUUCGGGUUGUAAAACUCUUUCGACGGGGACGAUAAUGACGGUACCCGUAGAAGAAGCUCCGGCUAACUUCGUGCCAGCAGCCGCGGUAAUACGAAGGGGGCUAGCGUUGUUCGGAAUUACUGGGCGUAAAGCGCGCGCAGGCGGCCUUUCAAGUCAGGGGUGAAAGCCCAGAGCUCAACUCUGGAACUGCCUUUGAAACUGUCAGGCUUGAGUACGGGAGAGGUGAGUGGAAUUCCCAGUGUAGAGGUGAAAUUCGUAGAUAUUGGGAAGAACACCGGUGGCGAAGGCGGCUCACUGGCCCGUUUCUGACGCUCAGGCGCGACAGCGUGGGGAUCAAACAGGAUUAGAUACCCUGGUAGUCCACGCCGUAAACUAUGAACGCUAGCCGUUGGCA